rnacentral:sRNA from 1 species
UGAGGCAGGAGAAUUGCUUGAACCUGGGAGGCAGAAGUUGCAGUGAGCCGAGAUCGUGCCAUUGCACUCCAGCUUGGGCAACAAGAGUGAAACUCCAUCUCAAAAAAAAAAAAAAAAUUUGGUGGCUGUUUUUUUUGUUUUUUGUUUUUUUUUUUUUUUGAGACAAAGUCUCACUCUGUCACCCAGGCUGAAGGUGCAAUCUUGGCUCACUGCAACCUGCGCCUCCCAGAUUCAAGCAUUUCUCCUGCCUCAGCCUCCCGAGUAACUAGGAUUACAGGCACGCACCACCGCGCCUGGC